AUUGAACGCUGGCGGCAGGCCUAACACAUGCAAGUCGAGCGAGCGGCGGACGGGUGAGUAAUGUCUGGGAACCUGCCUGAUGGAGGGGGAUAACUACUGGAAACGGUAGCUAAUACCGCAUACCAUCAGAUGUGCCCAGAUGGGAUUAGCUAGUAGGUGGGGUAAUGGCCCACCAAGCCGACGAUCUCUAGCUGGUCUGAGAGGAUGACCAGCCACACUGGGACUGAGACACGGCCCAGACUCCUACGGGAGGCAGCAGUGGGGAAGAUUGCGCAAUGGGGGCAACCCUGACGCAGCCAUGCCGCGUGAGUGAAGAAGGCCUUCGGGUUGUAAAGUUCUUUCGGUAGCGAGGCGUUAACUACAGAAGAAGCACCGGCUAACUCCGUGCCAGCAGCCGCGGUAAUUC
rnacentral:rRNA from 1 species